UUCGCCUGUUUAUCAAAAACAUCGCCUCUUGAUAUAAGUAUAAGAGGUCCCGCCUGCCCAGUGACCCCAGUUCAACGGCCGCGGUAUCCUAACCGCGCGAAGGUAGCGUAAUCACUUGUUCUUUAAAUUAGGACUAGUAUGAACGGCACCACGAGGGUUAUACUGUCUCCUUUUUCUAAUCAGUGAAACUAAUCUCCCCGUGAAGAAGCGGGGAUACAACUAUAAGACGAGAAGACCCUAUGGAGCUUAAAAUUUUAUUUCAACUGCCGCACCCAUAAAAGUUCCGACUACCCGUAAUUUACUUAGCAUUAUGAUUAUAAAUUUUAGGUUGGGGCGACCAUGGAGAAUAAAAAAACCUCCACAUUGAAUAUAGGCCUCUUAGCCUUGAGCCAAGAGCUACGACUCGAUGUACUAAAACAUUAACAUCCAUUGACCCAAUUAUUUGAUCAACGAACCAAGUUACCCUAGGGAUAACAGCGCAAUCCACUUUAAGAGCUCCUAUCGACAAGUGGGUUUACGACCUCGAUGUUGGAUCAGGGUGUCCCAGUGGUGCAGCCGCUACUAAAGGUUCGUUUGUUCAACGAUUAAAACCCUACGUGAUCUGAGUUCAGACCGGAGCAAUCCAGGUCAGUUUCUAUCUAUAAAGGGCUUCUUCUAGUACGAAAGGACCAAAAAAGCAUGGCCUAUACCUCGAGCAAGCCAUAGCGGGUAAUUUGUGAUUCAAACUUAACAGACAACUCACCUUCUACUAACCUCAAAACAAGAGAA
rnacentral:rRNA from 1 species